AGACGUCUACAUUAGAUACCCGGGUAGUCCCAGCCGUAAACUAUGCGCGUUAGGUGUAUCGGUGACCACGAGUUACCGAGGUGCCGAAGGGAAACCGUGAAACGUGCCGCCUGGGAAGUACGGUCGCAAGGCUGAAACUUAAAGGAAUUGGCGGGGGAGCACCACAACAGGCGGAGCCUGCGGUUUAAUUGGACUCAACGCCGGGAAGCUCACCGGAUAGGACAGCGGAAUGAUUGCCGGGCUGAAGACUCUGCAUGACUAGCUG
rnacentral:rRNA from 1 species